rnacentral:rRNA from 1 species
GAUGAACGCUGGCGGCGUGCCUAAUACAUGCAAGUCGAGCGAACAGACGAGGAGCUUGCUCCUCUGACGUUAGCGGCGGACGGGUGAGUAACACGUGGAUAACCUACCUAUAAGACUGGGAUAACUUCGGGAAACCGGAGCUAAUACCGGAUAAUAUAUUGAACCGCAGGGUUCAAUAGUGAAAGACGGUUUUGCUGUCACUUAUAGAUGGAUCCGCGCCGCAUUAGCUAGUUGGUAAGGUAACGGCUUACCAAGGCAACGAUGCGUAGCCGACCUGAGAGGCUGAUCGGCCACACUGGAACUGAGACACGGUCCAGACUCCUACGGGAGGCAGCAGUAGGGAAUCUUCCGCAAUGGGCGAAAGCCUGACGGAGCAACGCCGCGUGAGUGAUGAAGGUCUUCGGAUCGUAAAACCCUGUUAUUAGGGAAGAACAAAUGUGUAAGUAACUAUGCACGUCUUGACGGUACCUAAUCAGAAAGCCACGGCUAACUACGUG